AGAGUUUGAUCCUGGCUCAGAGCGAACGCUGGCGGCAGGCCUAACACAUGCAAGUCGAACGGACCUUUCGGGGUUAGUGGCGGACGGGUGAGUAACACGUGGGAACGUGCCUUUAGGUUCGGAAUAGCUCCUGGAAACGGGUGGUAAUGCCGAAUGUGCCCUUCGGGGGAAAGAUUUAUCGCCUUUAGAGCGGCCCGCGUCUGAUUAGCUAGUUGGUGGGGUAAUGGCCCACCAAGGCUACGAUCAGUAGCUGGUCUGAGAGGAUGACCAGCCACAUUGGGACUGAGACACGGCCCAAACUCCUACGGGAGGCAGCAGUGGGGAAUCUUGCGCAAUGGGCGAAAGCCUGACGCAGCCAUGCCGCGUGUAUGAUGAAGGUCUUAGGAUUGUAAAAUACUUUCACCGGUGAAGAUAAUGACUGUAGCCGGAGAAGAAGCCCCGGCUAACUUCGUGCCAGCAGCCGCGGUAAUACGAAGGGGGCUAGCGUUGCUCGGAAUUACUGGGCGUAAAGGGAGCGUAGGCGGACAUUUAAGUCAGAGGUGAAAUCCCGGAG
rnacentral:rRNA from 1 species